rnacentral:rRNA from 1 species
UACUAGAGUAGCACUCGCAUAUCAAUAAGCGGAGGAAAAGAAACUAACAAGGAUUCCCCUAGUAACGGCGAGUGAAGCGGGAAGAGCUCAAAUUUGAAAUCUUAAAGGGUUUCCCUUUACGAAUUGUAGUUUAAAGAAGUGUUUUCUGUUGAGGUUUUGGUAAAAGUUCUUUGGAAUAGGACAUCAUAGAGGGUGAGAAUCCCGUAUUUGACCUUUACUUUCAACUUUGUGAUACACUUUCAAAGAGUCGGAUUGUUUGGGAAUGCAGUCCAAAAUGGGUGGUAAAUUUCAUCUAAAGCUAAAUAUUGGCGAGAGACCGAUAGCGAACAAGUACCGUGAGGGAAAGAUGAAAAGAACUUUGAAAAGAGAGUUAAACAGUACGUGAAAUUGUCAAAAGGGAAGCGUUUGACACCAGUGUUGUUUUUCUGAAAAUCAAUUAAAGAACUGUUUAUGCUAAGCUUGUUUAGACUUUAUCAGCUAUCUGUUUAGUUUUGAGCUUUUCUUUAAUGCACUUUUCAGUUAACAAGUCAACAUCAAUUUCUUUUGCUGUAAAAAAGCUUGAGGAAGGUGGCUUGAGAUUCGUCUUAAGUGUUUAUAGCCUCUUGCCUAUGCAGUCGGAGAGAUUGAGGUCUGCAGCGUAGAUCCUUCGGGGCUAAAUGCAUUUGUGCUAAGUUAUAGCAUUUUAUAGACAACUUGUUGACUAUGAUUUGUCUUGUAGCUUACUCGCUUAUGUUAUUUUACCUACGCUUAGGAUGUUGAGUCAUCACACUCUCU